GUCUACAGCCAUAGCAUCUUGAAAGCGCAUGAUCCCGUCAGAUCUCAAAUGCAAUCAAGGGUAGGGCUUGUUCAGUACCAGUGUGGGUGACUAACUGGGAAUAGCAAGUGCUGUAGUCC
ensembl:rRNA 5S_rRNA 5S ribosomal RNA